CGGUGCUAUAGGGAAGACAAAAUUAAUAAUUACAAAGUGUCAUACAACCAAGAUGGAGUAACAGGUACUGGAUUUUCCCUCCCACACAAAACAACCAAACAAUGAACAAAAUAUAUGAAACAAGAGUUCGCAAGACAGAGAUCAUCAGGCAACGAAGAACAGUGAUUCCUGAGGGGGGGCACCUCAAGAGGUAAGCCUGAGGGCUGCCCAGCGUACUGCCUUGAGAGCGUUUCCAGGCUGCGGUGCUGGGAGGGGACCCAAGGGGAGCUGCCAGACUCCCCGAAUUAUGCAGAGGGUGCUGAGGGUCCGGGGAGACUAAGGUGGCCAAAGCCUGCAGGUCGGACCUCCUGAGAGGAGAGAGCUCUAGAGCGAGGACUCAGAGGAUGUACGAGAGCCCCUCAGUCAGUCAGCAGGGCCCAUUCACUCCACUCCAGGCCAGAGAAGGAACCAUCCAGAAGAGCAGAGGGUCAGCGCCCGGUGCUCACACGGGAUCCAGAUACGGCCGUUCCCACCAGCCAGGCUGCAAAGCCUCAUGAUUCGUGGGACUCUGGUGGGGGGGGGGGCGGAAACACAGAAUAACUACACCCCACAUGUACACUGUUCCAGUGCCACCUAACUAAUCCUAAAGUCAAGACCUGAAAGGAUCACUCUGCCACCCAGGACAAAGCUCCAGAAUAUUUACAGGAAUACAAAAUACCCAGUAUCCAACCCAGUAAAAUGGACAAUGUCUAGCAUCCAACAAAUAUUAUGAGGCAUGAGAAGCAGGAAAAUAUAAUCCCAUAAUAAAGAGAAAAAUGAACCAAUUGAAACGGACCCAGAUGACAGAAAUGGUAGACAAGGAUGCUGGAAGAGCUAUCUGCCAGUACAAGUAAGGACCAAAGGCUAAUUUUCUCCAUCCCUUUAUUUCCCUUAUAAGUUUAUAUGACAUCAAUAAUGGUGUAGUUUUAUUAUAUAUGCUUAAUAGCCACCUACAAAGAUAAAUCCAUUUAUUCAAAGUGAGGUAUUCUCCUUGUCCUUGCAAAAUAAAGUCACAUUAAAAUGAAUACAUGUGUUUUUCACCAGGCCUCACAAAGAAGCAAAUCACACAGCAUGAAGCUGCUGGAUUGUUCUACCCCAGAAACGGAAGGAUUUAUGAGCUAUUCAACGGCUUUCACUUGUCUCACUUCCAACAUGUUCCUGGCAGGCGGGAGACAGAGCCUGUGGGGACCUGGGAAGCAGUUUAACCUCCUUGUAGCUGGGAGUUCAAGGAACUUAGCGUGAGCUGGGUUUGGGGUCCGCAGCGCUACCUGGAGAAGAUGAACCGAGAAUCUGCUUGCGUAUCUCUGCUUGGCUCCGGCUGAUGGGCUGCAUGACGACUUCAAUAAAUAUGGGAGCUCUGCAUCAUCUACUGAAAUACAAAUGCCACUUCUCAAAGCGCUAUACCGCUGACUCGUGUGCCGCGUGGAGAAAAGGAUGAUCAACCGACAGUGCUGCAUUUCCUCAAGGUUCUGUUCAAAUUGACUGUGAUCCCAGGGGUCUCAUCUUUAUCCCAUAUGCUGGGCUUUUCCCGUCCUGUCAGCUCACACAAAGAGUGCAGAUGGCGCUAACAGUGAUUUUUCUUAGGCGUAGUUUAAAGGUUACAAGAUGGUGAAGUGAUAAGGAACAACACACUGUAAACAUGCAGGGCUCCAAGCCUCAAUUAAGCACAAGAGCCAGGGGAGCGCGCAGUUGCGGGUAUUAAUUCACAGCAGGUGAGGGGCUAAGUGAGCAGUGCGAGAAAAUGUGAGGCACCUAAUGUUCACCAAGCCAAACAUGAGAGUGUUUCUGCAACUUUAAACGGAUUUCCUAAGAGAAAAAGCGACCGUUAGUACUCUUCGGUCAGACUGCUUGGGUUUGUUUUCCUAUGACAUUCAGUUGCUAUGGCAGAUUUUAAAGUUUUAUAUAGAAAUCAAGAAAGCUUCAAACAGCAUGGGGAAAAAUGAUCAACAGCUGUUAACAUGGAUUUCGGAGCAAGACAAAACUUUCCAAAAGACAAAUUCCAAGACCAUAGGAGAGUGUUAACCCUGACAUAAGUAGUAAAAAAGAAAAAAGUCCAUCAGCAUAUACUGAACUAUGUUCCGCUUUUUAGGUGGCAGAUGGGGAAAAGAAACCCAGAUAACACCUGUGGAAUUUGGGGCUGAACUGUGAGGAAAAACACUGGUUCCCAGAGAAGGUAUGCUCCAGCCCGCAGAACUGCUGCCCCACCCGCUGGGCAGCCUGCUGGGAGCCUCUGGACAAGGAGAACCACCCCCCCACAGAGAUUCCAGUGCUGGACCCGGGCCACAGCAGCAGCCCCUGCCAAAAUGACGAGUCCUCAUUCUCAGAGGCUCAGAAUUGCAAAAUCCGCCCAGAGCUUUCACUACACCAUCACGUUCAUGACUUUCAGGACUGAUGGUUUCUUAAUAGGAAAUGGCUUUCUGGUCUGACUUCAAGGAAGAUUAUAUAAUUUUCUAAGCCCUGUGGAUUUUACAGUUUCUACCACUAUCCUAGGUAAAAAUGCAUCUUCUGAAGUCUGACAAUUCAGAAGUCACUAUGCCAUUAAUUAUAGCUUAUAUGAAACUUGUAAGAAUCAAAUACUUUAAGAAUCAAAUAUUACCCCCAAUUCUGUUAUGAGCUUUAUUUUUCAAAAAUCCAUUUUGGCAUUUUUGGUUACUCUGACUAAAGAUGACUACUCAUUCUAUCAGUCUUCAUUAUACUGUCCCCCACCCGAUCCACCCCGAAAUGUAUGCCUUCUUUUCACCGGGCAAUUCUAACUUUCAAAUGUUUCAGACUCUUCUAAUUCUGCCAUUCCUCCCUCCCUUAGGCUUCAGCCAGUUAUGCUGAGAACCUCUAACUGUUUUCAUAAAUCCUUCUUCUGUCUCCUUAAUCAUUUUGUUACUUCCCUCAGGACUUUCUUGAGUAUCUUGAAUCAUGCGGGAUUAGGGAAUGAUCAUAGAAUAAAUCAUUGUAAUCCGUAGAAGAUUUACUACUCAAGAAACUGUGUAUAAUCUACACAGGAAACAUGGAAAAUAUGCUGUAGUUAUCAUAUAUUUGAGAUUCUAAAUUACUUUCUUUAUGGAAACAGAUAAAACCUAAGUUGUGAGAAAACUGUCUAAAGUUCCCCAAACUAAAGGAUCAGUCAUCCUUUAUGCUUUGAGUAUAAAGCAGAAUAAAUACUCCUGAAGGUACUUGUGAAGGCGUGUGAAUACUUAAGACAAGGCUCUGGUAGAGAGCUGAGGUCCUUGUCUUUGUUCAGCUGGUGGC